GGAGCCCGGCGCCCGCACUCGCAGCCCCGCGCUCGGCGCCGGCCGCGCCAUGGGGGAGGGGCGGGGCGGGCCGCGCGAGACCCGGGAAACAUGGCUGCUCGUCCUAUUUCGGCGUCGCGGCGUGGCCACCAGCCCCCGGAUCCGAGUUGGGAGAGGCUCCGAAGAGGCUCCCGCGCCGGCGGAAUUCAAUCAAUAAACCCCGAACCCACGGCCGCGCGUUUUAGGACUUUGAAGGCUCAACCAGCUCCGCUCGGUUCUCGAGCCCCCAGCACCCGCGGCGCACACUAACCUGAUCACGGUGGAGGCGGGACCUGAGGUUCGGCGGAUGAGCGGCAACAGCUGGAGCCAAUCGCUGCCGAGGGUGUCCGGGCAACAGCCAAUGGUGGCGGCGGCGGGGGGGAAGGGACCAAUGGGCGGGCUGCGCAGCCGGCCAGGGAGGCUCAGCCAUUUGGUUGUGGUGCCGGAGACGGACCCCUUUAGAUUUCGGGGCGGCUGAGGAUCGCGACGGCUGCUUGGUGGCUGAGCUAGGGGGGUGGGCAGAAUGGCGGGGGAAGGGAAGGUGACUGCGCCUGGAGGGCCGAGCCGCUCGGCCUCGCCAGCCCGCCGCCGCCUCAGCGUUUGGCCGGGGGCGGGGCCGCAGGUGCGUUACUCGAGGGGGAGGGGCGCGGUCGGAGGGGUCGGGGUCGGGGUCCUCGCCCGGCCGAGGGCUUCGCAGGGCCACCCCGGGCCUGCCCGCGUCGCUGGACCGGGUUGGCGAAAGAGGCGGGCGGUGCGAGGUCUGGGGGCCCCGGGGCUGCCCGGCGGACGAGCGGGCGGGCGGAUUGAAAGGCCUGGAAAGAGGGGGAGGGGUCAAGAGUGCAGUGGGGGAGGGGCUGGUCAUUUUUCUGGGUCCGGCGGGCCGAGCUGGUAGAGCAUGGCUGCUGCCUUCCUCUUCCUCCGCGGGUACCCACCCCGGGGCUGCGGCUCACGGCCCGCGCGCCCCUUCGCCUCGUCCUCGUCCAGCCGCGGCCAUCGCCGCCCCUCUAAUAAACAAGUAAAUGAAA